rnacentral:rRNA from 1 species
AUUGAACGCUGGCGGCAUGCCUUACACAUGCAAGUCGAACGGCAGCAUGAUCUAGCUUGCUAGAUUGAUGGCGAGUGGCGGACGGGUGAGUAAUACAUAGGAACGUGCCCUGUAGUGGGGGAUAACUAGUCGAAAGAUUAGCUAAUACCGCAUACGACCUGCGGGUGAAAGUGGGGGAGCGCAAGGCCUCAUGCUAUAGGAGCGGCGGGUGUCUGCUUAGCUAGUUGGUGGGGUAAAGGCUCACCAAGGCGACGAUCAGUAGCUGGUCUGAGAGGACGAUCAGCCACCCUGGGACUGAGACACGGCCCAGACUCCUACGGGAGGCAGCAGUGGGGAAUGUGGGACAAUGGGCGAAAGCCUGAUCCAGCAAUGCCGCGUGUGUGAAGAAGGCCUUCGGGUUGUAAAGCACUUUUGUCCGGAAAGAAAUGGCCCUGGUUAAGACCUGGGGUCGAUGACGGUACCGGAAGAAUAAGGACCGGCUAACUACGUG